rnacentral:lncRNA from 1 species
UAUCGACUGUGCCGCAUGAGCAGGAUUUUACGGCACAGUCGAUAGAUAGCGCGCUGUACUUCGGGCAAGAAGGUCGAGGGUUCGAGGCCUGCUCCCUGCUGUUUCAUUACACUAUCUUUUGGCCACACGAUGGUGGUAUAAGAUUGUAAAUGGUUUAAUUUUAUUUUAUGUUGUCUGAACGGAAGGUUGCAAAAUUCCCUCUACCUUUCCCAGAUCUGAUUGAAAGAUUGCGGAUUUCCUUCUUACUCACUCCCGAUUUCAAAAUAUUUAUCAAAUUUGUAUUUCUGGAAAAACCUUGGAAAUGUUUGGGGGGAUUGGCCUAUGCACAAGUUGGAGUGUACAGCCAUGUGUUCCUAUGGGGAGAACUGAUGUCCCUCAGAGACCGUCAGACUGGUGGCCAGGAUCAUCAUGAAACAGGCCUUGGUCAAGCUGUGUUGUGUUGAGUCCUUUACUCUACAGCACCCCCUAGUGACCUGCUGGAGAUCUGCGAGUUGAGCCAGGAGAAGAUGAGCUCUGUAUUUGCAGACACUAACGUGUACAUGCUUCACAUGAUGUACCAGGCCAUGGGAAUCUGUCUGUACAUGCAGGACUGGGACGGAGCCAUGAGCUACGGAGAGAAGAUCAUACAACCAUACAGAGACAGUGUAUCUAACAAACACCUGUGUUGCCAGCUUCACUCCCAUGUUUGUGAAGGGUGACAAAUGAAUGUGUUUGUCCAUCAGCUUUGGUACCAUCCUGAUUGGGUGCCUUUUGUCCAUCUUGUAAAACAACACCAGGAUUUCAUCUCUGAUUUGAGUUAUUCCACUCUAAUUUGACGUAGUGAGGAACAACAAAGAUGAAGGGGAUCAGUGUGGUCUUCAACUGUGAUGCAGUGGGCCCCGUCAGUGUGGUCUUCAACUGUGAUGCAGUGGGCCCCGUCAGUGUGGUCUUCAACUGUGAUGCAG